CGGCGUGCCUAAUACAUGCAGUCUAACGAUGAAGUCCUAGCUUGCUAGGAUGGAUUAGUGGCGCACGGGUGAGUAAUAUAUAGUUAAUCUGCCCUACACAGAGGAUCAACAGUUGGAAACGACUGCUAAUACCUCAUACUCCUAUUUGACAUAAGUUAAAUAGGGAAAGUCUUUUCGGUGUAGGAUGAGACUAUAUCGUAUCAGCUAGUUGGUAAGGUAAUGGCUUACCAAGGCUAUGACGCGUAACUGGUCUGAGAGGAUGAUCAGUCACAUUGGAACUGAGACACGGUCCAAACUCCUACGGGAGGCAGCAGUAAGGAAUAUUGCGCAAUGGGGGAAACCCUGACGCAGCAACGCCGCGUGGAGGAUGACACUUUUCGGAGCGUAAACUCCUUUUAUCAGGAAAGAAUAAUGACGGUACCUGAUGAAUAAGCACCGGCUAACUCCGUGCCAGCAGCCGCGGUAAU
rnacentral:rRNA from 1 species